rnacentral:misc_RNA from 1 species
UUUCCGUAGGUGAACCUGCGGAAGGAUCAUUAAAGAAUCGCCCCGUUUCUUAUAAAUAGGUUCUAUUCCCAAACCGUGUAUACAUACCUUUGUUGCUUUGGCAGGCCGCCUCCGGGCGUAGGCUCCGGCUGAUAGAGCCUGCCAGAGAACCCAAACUCUGUGUUAAGUGAUGUCUGAAUACAAUAUAAUAGUUAAAACUUGCAACAACGGAUCUCGUGGUUCUGGCAUCUAUGAAGAAC